rnacentral:tRNA from 6 species
GGAGGGGUUCCCGAGUGGCCAAAGGGAGCAGACUGUAAAUCUGCCACGAAAGUUUCGGUGGUUCGAAUCCACCUCCCUCCACCA